rnacentral:misc_RNA from 1 species
GUAGGUGAACCUGCGGAAGGAUCAUUCACACAAAGUCGUGCCGUAACAGGCGCUUCAACACCAAACUAAAACCAAAACGAGCUACGUAUAAACAAAUUCGUGCUGUAUACAACACAUGGCAUGUCGUCGAUUGACGCCUAAGGUAGGCCGUCUGCCGUGACGAAGCUACUUAGGAGACGAAACGUCACCGUACCUGCAGGAAGGCGACCUAGACAGCUUGUGGGUGGGAACGUAAGUUCUGCGGAAGGUUAAACUUUUGUAGGAUGGUUGUUCCCACACCCUUAACGUGGCUGCAGUACACUACUUCAACUAAUGUCUUAUGUGGCAUCACGGGGCUGCAUAAGGCGAAUUAACUUACCUUUCUUCUUCUUUGCUGAUAAAAAGGCUUGGAGGAUGUCAUUUAGUACCUGAGCCCGUUUGGGCAACUAUGUAGAAAUACGAAAUUAAUACAACUCUUUGCAAUGGAUAUCUUGGUUCUC